CGCCAUCAGUGAUACGUCUACACUGACGACAUGGUUCUACAGAAACCAGGAUUAGAUACCUAUUAUAUUUAAUAUAAAUUAAAUUACCUGACUAUUAAUAGUUAUAUACUUUAAAAUCAAAGAAUUUGGCGGUAUUUUAGUCCAAUUAGAGGAACCUGUUUUAUAAUCGAUAAUCCUCGUAAUAUCUUACUUGUUUUAGUAGUUUGUAUACCGUCAUUAUCAGAUAACAUUGAGAGAUAAAGUUAUUGAAAUUAAUUAUUUAAGUAAAUUAGAUCAAGGUGCAGCUUAUAAACAAGUAAAAAUGGGUUACAAUAAUAAUUUUUAAAUACGAAUUAUAUACUGCAUAAAAUAUAUGAAGGUGGAUUUAUUUGUAAUUUCUUUUUAAAAAGAAGUUUUGAAUAUGGCUCUAAAAUAAGUACAUAUCGCCGUCGCUAGACCAAGUCUCUGCUACCGUAAGACGUAUCACUGAGCGGGCUGG
rnacentral:rRNA from 1 species